CAUGAAUCUCCAAGAACCUUCUGACUGUGCCUACAAGGGAAAAAAUUAAGUGUAGUUAGCAAAAGCAUUACUCUUCCUCCUGCUUUACUACCAGGUUACUCAGAAGAGGCAAGCUGAAUCAAUCAAUAGAAAUUUUACAAAAAACAAGGAUGUUCAUCCUACUGCAGUACACACUAUCCAGGGCACCUUGCUGCUGCUUGUCCUCAGACCACUGAACACCUAGAGUGACACUGCAGCUAGUCUGAACCCACAAUUUGAUUAUGUUCAUUCUGCUGCUCAAAGAUCAGACAAGCAGAAGAUAAACAAAGUGAAGAUGCAUGAGAGAAGACAGAAUAGCAGAACUCUGACCUACUCUUUUUCACAGCAGCAGCUGUUAGAGACCUUGGGAGCAAAGCGCAUGGGAACACAAAGAAAGAUUACCUUGCCCAGGGAGAGGUUUAAAUGAUGUUCACAUUGCAGACAUAUACUAUAUUCAAGCCCAAGUCAUAGGAGAUGUCUAACUUUUUCUUUCUUUCUUUCCUUACUUCAUCAGGUUCAGGAGAUCCCUGAACAGUCCUAAUUUACUGCAUGUAUGAACCGGGAAAGAGGGCCGCUCCUUCUCUUUUCAUAUUGAUCGUCAGUGUUACUCUCCCAGAGAGGUUUUGGUGAGCAUCCAGCUGCUUUGCUUCAUAGACAUCAGUCCAGCCUGGCAAACUGUCAACAUCCACAAAUUGGGAAGGAGCACCCAAGGGAUCCAUGGAAUGGAAAGAACAACUCCUUUUUUU